rnacentral:rRNA from 1 species
AUCAGUUUUGGAAGAUAAGGUAUUGGCUUAUCUUGACUUUCACGGGUAACGGAGGGUUAGGGCUUGACCCCGGAGAGGAAGCCUGAGAGACGGCUACCACAUCCAAGGAAGGCAGCAGGCGCGUAAAUUACCCAAUCUUGACACAAGGAGGUAGUGACAUUAAAUAACAAUGCUUGGUCCAAGCGAUCGAGCAAUUGGAAUGAGAACCAUUUAAAUCCCUUAUCGAGGAUCUACUGGAGGGCAAGUCUGGUGCCAGCAGCCGCGGUAAUUCCAGCUCCAGUGGCGUAUAUUAAAGUUGUUGCAGUUAAAAAGUUCGUAGUUGAUUUUCUGAUAGAUUAAUAUAGUUGGCACUCUGUGCUACAACUACAUUUAUUCAAUCAUCCUUGGAAUUGAGUUGGGUUGGCAUUAAGUUGUCGGCUAAUGAUUUCCAUCGUUUACUGUGAAAAAAUGAGAGUGUUCAAAGCAAGCUUACGCUGUUGAAUUUGUUAGCAUGGAAUAAUAAGAUAGGACCUUGGUUCUAGUUUUGUUGGUUUGUGUACUAGGGUAAUGAAUAAUAGGGAUAGUCGGGGGUCUUCGUAUAUCCAUGUCAGAGGUGAAAUUCUUGGAUUUUGGAUCGACGCACUACUGCGAAAGCAUUGACCAAGGAUGUUUUCAUUAAUCAAGAGCGCCAGUUAGGGGAUCGAAGAUGAUUAGAUACCAUCGUAGUCCUACACCACAAAAGAUGUCGGGCCAGGAUUGGAGGUCGUGAUUUAAACACCUCCAGCACUGUAUGAGAAAUUACACCAUGGAUUCUGGGGGGAUGUACGGCCGCAAGACUUAAACUUAAAGAAAUUGACGGAAGGGCACCACAAGGAGUGGAGCCUGCGGCUUAAUUUGACCCAACACGGGAAACCUCACCAGGUCCAGACACAGGUAGGAUUGACAGAUUGAGAGCUCUUUCUUGAUUCUGUGGGUGGUGGUGCAUGGCCGUUCUUAGUUGGUGAAGUGAUUUGUCUGGUUUAUUCCGUUAACGAACGAGACCCCCACUUUUAAAUAACUACUUCAAUCGUUUUUGAUUGUUGACUAGCUUCUUAAAGGGACUUUUUGUUACAAACAAAAGGAAGUUGGGGGCAAUAACAGGUCUGUGAUGCCCUUAGAUGUCCUGGGCCGCACGCGCGCUACACUGACGCACACAGCGAGUAUAUAACCUUGGCAGAGAUGCCCGGGUAAUCUUUAAACGUGCGUCGUGAUAGGGAUAGCUCCUUGCAAUUUUGGAGCUUCAACGAGGAAUUCCUAGUAAACGCAAUUCAUCAAAUUGCAUUGAUUACGUCCCUGCCCUUUGUACACACCGCCCGUCGCACCGACCGAUUGAAUGGUCCGGUGAGAGCUCGGGAGUGAAGGAACAAUCCUUUAUUGCAUUUUCCUGCAUGAACUUGUUCAAACCUUAUCAUUUAGAGGAUGGUGAAGUCGUAACAAGGUA